CUGUUAGGAAACAGUCCCUUGAGCCACUUGUUCAUGCAUCCAUUGUUCAAAUAUUCUGUAUCCAGGGUGAUCCAGGAAGUGUGUACAAUGCCAGGCAACAAUGGCGAGAAAAUGAGCAUCAAAGAGCAAAACAAACCUGGGCCCUGCUCUCCAGGAUUACACAGCAUCAUGGGGAAGAGAGAGAUUUCUCAAACAGUUUCAACCCAGAUGAAAGCAGGAAAGACAUCAGCUAUGGAGAGUGGCUGCAUAGAGGACACAAACCCUUGAGGGAACAGGUCACUGUCACUUUUCUAAGGAAGUGGCACUUAGUGAUCUGUGAAAGCUGAAGAGGGUUGCAUUUGGUUUUCAUGGCUCCACGGCACCUGAAUAUAGACCACGCCUGGGUUCAGGCCAUUGAAAGGUGAAGAAAAGUGGACUUGUGUCUCUUCCCAGGUCCUGAGUUGCAAUAUUGUGAAUAAUUUGGGAUUUAAGCAAUGGACUUGAAAGGAACUUGAAAAUCUGUCCAAGAGAACCUGCUCGAAGAGGAAAACCACCUGCCCCAUCUCUUCAACCAGCACCACUGAGAAGGAUCUUGAAAGCAGCAACCCGUGGGCUUCGGAGUAAGAGGGAGUCCAGCCCUCAUCAUAUCCAUCCAACCUACGGCAGCUGUAGCUUUACAAAAAUGUAUUUCUUCAAUAAGAAGACCUCAACGCUGAAAUGACUCCUUGAUCCACGGGGCUGCAGAAUGGAUGUUGUGUUGGCCGGCAUGAAAACAAUAUUAAUCUCAUUGCACAUCUCCAUCAGAGCUCUUAGAUGGCUGGAUGCAUUGUCAUUGAGCAGUCACCAUUAUAGAAGAAAUCUUUUUUUUUUUUUUUUUUUAUUUUG